GUGAGCUAAACGAACCGGCUGGACACACGGUCGACGUGGGAACGAGAUUUAAGUGCUGCUUUCAAGGCGAGAGACUGAGGGGCUUCUGGACCGCCGUGGUGCACAUGUGCAUGAGUCACACAUCCGCAAACACGCACAAGCAAGACGCAGCCACAAACUCGAGGCACUUACCGAGCCAGUGUUCGCCGGUGAUCUUCCCGAAUCCCUCG